GUGAAAGAUGAGAACCAUGUAAUGAAAAAUCUGCAAAAAGAAGAUAAAUUAGUGAGAAGACAUAAGAAAAAAAAAUGAGAAAUAGAUUUAAAGUUUGGUGUUUUGAUGUUCAAAGAGAUUAGAGAGAGGUUGGAGAGUUUCAAAGUGAGAAACAAUACAUUUUUGUUGCAGCCAUUUGAGAAGAAGAAAGAGAAUGUGUAAAUUUUCUUUAUAUAUGGAGACAAAAAUUCCAAUUAGGUU
rnacentral:lncRNA from 1 species